rnacentral:sRNA from 12 species
UGGACCUCGGCGAUUUCAGCAAUCUCAUCUCCCCAUAUUGUCAAUGGAGCGAGGGGUGGGGGGGUAUUGGUUUCGACGGGCUCCGUCUUGGGGGGAGAUAAAGUUGCGUGGCGGCGA